GCGUCAUUGGUGUAGCGGUAGCACAAAAGCCUUCCAAGCUUUUAGCAUCAGUUCGAUUCUGAUAUGACGCUCCA
rnacentral:tRNA from 1 species